rnacentral:rRNA from 1 species
UGGGGAAUAUUGGACAAUGGACCAAAAGUCUGAUCCAGCAAUUCUGUGUGCACGAUGAAGUUUUUCGGAAUGUAAAGUGCUUUCAGUUGGGAAGAAGUCAGUGACGGUACCAACAGAAGAAGCGACGGCUAAAUACGUGCCAGCAGCCGCGGUAAUACGUAUGUCGCAAGCGUUAUCCGGAUUUAUUGGGCGUAAAGCGCGUCUAGGCGGUUUAGUAAGUCUGAUGUGAAAAUGCGGGGCUCAACCCCGUAUUGCGUUGGAAACUGCUAAACUAGAGUACUGGAGAGGUAGGCGGAACUACAAGUGUAGAGGUGAAAUUCGUAGAUAUUUGUAGGAAUGCCGAUGGGGAAGCCAGCCUACUGGACAGAUACUGACGCUAAAGCGCGAAAGCGUGGGUAGCAAACA